GAUGAACGCUGGCGGCGUGCCUAAUACAUGCAAGUCGAGCGAACAGAUGAGGAGCUUGCUCCUCUGACGUUAGCGGCGGACGGGUGAGUAACACGUGGAUAACCUACCUAUAAGACUGGGAUAACUUCGGGAAACCGGAGCUAAUACCGGAUAAUAUAUUGAACCGCAUGGUUCAAUAGUGAAAGACGGUUUUGCUGUCACUUAUAGAUGGAUCCGCGCCGCAUUAGCUAGUUGGUAAGGUAACGGCUUACCAAGGCAACGAUGCGUAGCCGACCUGAGAGGGUGAUCGGCCACCCGGGAACUGAGACACGGUCCAGACACCUACGGGAGGAAGCAGUAGGGAAUCUUACGCGAAGGGCGAGAGCCUGACGGAGCAACGCCGGGUGAGUGAUGAAGGUGUUCGGAUCGUAAAACUCUGUUAUUAGGGAAGAACAAAUGUGUAAGUAACUAUGCACGUCUUGACGGUACCUAAUCAGAAAGCCACGGCUAACUACGUG
rnacentral:rRNA from 1 species